UACGAAGGGGGCUAGCGUUGCUCGGAAUGACUGGGCGUAAAGGGCGCGUAGGCGGCUUGCACAGUCAGGCGUGAAAUUCCUGGGCUCAACCUGGGGACUGCGCUUGAGACGUGUGGGCUUGAGUGGGGAAGAGGGUCGUGGAAUUCCCAGUGUAGAGGUGAAAUUCGUAGAUAUUGGGAAGAACACCAGUGGCGAAGGCGGCUCACUGGCCCGGUACUGACGCUGAGAUGCGAAAGCGUGGGGAGCAAACAGG
rnacentral:rRNA from 1 species